AUUGAACGCUGGCGGCAUGCUUUACACAUGCAAGUCGAACGGUAACAGGGUGCUUGCACCGCUGACGAGUGGCGAACGGGUGAGUAAUGCGUCGGAACGUGCCGAGUAGUGGGGGAUAACGCAUCGAAAGGUGUGCUAAUACCGCAUACGUACUGAGAUAGAAAGUGGGGGACCUUCGGGCCUCACGCUAUUCGAGCGGCCGACGUCUGAUUAGCUAGUUGGUGAGGUAAAGGCUCACCAAGGCGACGAUCAGUAGCGGGUCUGAGAGGAUGAUCCGCCACACUGGGACUGAGACACGGCCCAGACUCCUACGGGAGGCAGCAGUGGGGAAUUUUGGACAAUGGGCGCAAGCCUGAUCCAGCUAUGCCGCGUGUCUGAAGAAGGCCUUCGGGUUGUAAAGGACUUUUGUCCGGGAGCAAAUGCCUGGUGUUAAUAGCACUGGGAGCCGAGAGUACCGGAAGAAUAAGCACCGGCUAACUACGUGCCAGCAGCCGCCGUAAGAC
rnacentral:rRNA from 1 species